AUUGAACGCUGGCGGCAUGCUUUACACAUGCAAGUCGAACGGCAGCGCGGGCUUCGGCCUGGCGGCGAGUGGCGAACGGGUGAGUAAUGCAUCGGAACGUGCCCAGUAGUGGGAGAUAGCCCGGCGAAAGCCGGAUUAAUACCGCAUACGACCUGAGGGUGAAAGCGGGGGACCGAAAGGCCUCGCGCUAUUGGAGCGGCCGAUGUCGGAUUAGCUAGUUGGUGGGGUAAAGGCUUACCAAGGCGACGAUCCGUAGCUGGUCUGAGAGGACGACCAGCCACACUGGGACUGAGACACGGCCCAGACUCCUACGGGAGGCAGCAGUGGGGAAUUUUGGACAGUGGGGGCAACCCUGAUCCAGCCAUGCCGCGUGCGGGAAGAAGGCCUUCGGGUUGUAAACCGCUUUUGUUCGGGAAGAAAUCCUCUGGGCUAAUACCCCGGGGGGAUGACGGUACCGGAAGAAUAAGCACCGGCUAACUACGU
rnacentral:rRNA from 1 species